AGGAAGAAAGCAGCAGAAUCUGAAGAGGAGGAAGAGGAGGAGCUGAUCUGUUCCUGAUCUCUAAAGAGACUCAAACUUCCUCCUUCAGUUCAGUUCAACUCUCCAACAUUAACUCUGCUCAACAUGGACUAUUAUGGUCUGUCUCUGCUCAUCAUCUCUCUGCUAACAGGAGUCAGAUGCCAACAACUCACUGCGCUUCAGAAAGAAGAGUUCGCUGUAGGAAGCAGCAAAGUUACUCUGUCCUACACUUACUCCAAAACAGCCACUGGAACUGAUUAUUUCUUCUGGUAUCGACAAUAUCCUGGAAAACCUCCAGAGUUCCUGAUCUCCCAUUUAGGAACAGGAACUAAACUCCAGGAUCCGGUUCCUGGUUUCUCCUUCAACGUGAAUGCUGAUAAAACCCAGAUGGAUCUGCUGAUCUCCUCUGCUGCAGUGACAGACUCUGCUGUGUACUACUGCGCUGUGAGGCCCACAGUGACAGGAAACACCAGAACCCUGUACAAAAACCUGCAGUUCUCCACAGCAGCCACAGUGAGACCAUUUGUUGCCUGGAAUUGCAAAAAUGUGACAAGGAAGAGAUCAGCAGAAAUCUUGCAGCAUGAAGCCAAGAGCAGCCAGAAGCAGUUAGCGUUGGAUCCUGGAGGCAGCAGCAGGCAGAUACCAGCAACCCUCAGAGGAGCUACGGGUCGGACAUGGAGGCAGGUCGGCAGCCCCGACGCCACGGAGACUCAGUACCAAACCUCCUAA